AUUAAAGUAAAAAUAAAAAUUUAGAAUCAAAACUAAAAUAAAUAAUACAUAUGAGAAACAGACUGACUAGUUGAACCUGCCUAUGACUAUACUCAUUGCAAUGUAAUAAAAAAUACAAUGCAUUUUCUUAAUCAAGUAAAUCUUGGUAAUAAAAGAUAUAAUACAUUUACUUAAUCAAGGAAAUCUUGUAAUGAACUCAAAGCAAUGAGCCUUAGAGAAAAACUUUUGAGCAUGGCUUCGAAUUUGAACUGCAGAUUUAGUGCCUACAUGUUCAUUAUUAUUGGUAGACCCCAUUCUCUUUACAUAACUACAACAACUGUAAUGGCAAAAACAAAAAAAUUGAGCACAGAUAGAAGGAACUCAACUUCCCUGUAAACCUACGAGUGAUUAAUUUUAAGAGUAAAAACAAUUGAGCAUGUCAGCUCUGAUAAGAGUGGAAUGAUCGGGAUUAAUAAAUUAGAAUCAAAAUUUGCAUUCAACCUAUGGCUCAUGCAAACACCUUCAAGACAUGGCAUCUAGGAUUCAAAUCCCAACAUCAUAACCAUUUUAGUAUAUCUAAUGUUAUAUAAAAUGGGGUACAACAAAGGAUGAGAAAACUUACUCGUUAUUAU
rnacentral:lncRNA from 1 species